UUUUUUUUUUUUUUUUUUUUUUUUUUAU
rnacentral:ribozyme from 1 species